UGGGCAGGCCGACGCGAUGACGUGAGGACACGGCGCUGGCUGGCCGUGCGUCGCGAGCCGGGUUUGAAAGUAACGGCAGGCCAGGAGUAGGGAGGGGGCGGGGCCGCCAUGCCUCAGAAAGACAGUGUGUGCUCGCGCUCCUACUUCGUGGUCGUCAUGGUGUUCGUGCAUGUUUACAUCCUCAACGUCUUGGCCCUGCUGCUCUACGUGUACUACACCAGCGAGAGCGCGCACACGGCUCCGGAUGGCGGCGGAGGAGGCGCGUCCACGACGCCUGGGCAGGACGCGAGUGCGCGGCAGGAGGUGGCGGAGCCGGAGCGCACUGCUGCCAAGCUGCAGCAAGAGGCGUUCACCCGCCUGCACCGCCUGGAGGGCAUCAAGGUUGGCCAUGUGCAAAAAGUAGAUCUUGUCCCAAACAAAGUACACUACAUGAAAACGCUGAGCUUAAAACCACUUCUCUUUGAGAUUGCAAACUUCCUUUCAGAGGAAGAAUGUAAACUGGUUAUCCACCUCGCAAAGUUAAAGGGACUUCAGGAAAGCCAGAUUAUGCCAUCUGACCUUCAACAGGAGGCCAUCGAUGAGAUGGACAUUAGCAAAGAGGAAAUCUUCAAUCUGCUUGACUACAACCAAGAUGGGCAGCUACAGAUGACAGAGGUUUUGACGCACACACGAUUUGGUGAUGGUGUCUGGAUUACUCCUGAAAAUAUUCGCGAAAUCUACACAGGACUUGAAGCUGACCCUGAUGGGAAUGGUUUGCUAAGCCUGGAGGAAUUUAAGCAACUUAACACAAAUGCUUUCCAAUCAUAUUUACGGCACCGUGGGGUGCAAAAGACCGAGCUGGUUCGCAACAGCAAGCACACGUGGCUGUACCAGGGCGAAGGGGCACACCGGAUCCUGAGGACCAUUCGGCAUAGAGUGAUCAGGUUGACGCAGUUACCUCCGGAGAUAGUGGAGCACAGUGAGCCACUACAGGUGGUGAAGUAUGAUCAAGGCGGGCACUACCAUGCUCAUCACGACAGUGGUCCAAUCUACGCAGAGACCAGCUGCUUCCAUACAAAGCUAGUAACCAAUGGAUCCACUCCAUUAGAAACCUCCUGUCGAUAUGUGACAGUGCUGUUUUAUUUGAACAAUGUUUCUGAAGGAGGGGAGACGGCAUUUCCUGUGGCAGACAACAGGACGUAUGAAGAACUGUCUUUAAUGCACAAUGAUGUGGAUCUACGAGAUACACGGCAAAACUGUAACCGAGCAAACCUGCUGGUGAAGCCUGUGCAAGGCACCGCUCUCUUCUGGUACAACUACCUCUCCAACGGCGAAGGCUGGGUGGGAGAGCAAGACGAAUACUCCCUGCACGGCGGCUGCAUUGUCAUCCGGGGGACCAAAUGGAUUGCCAACAACUGGAUCAACAUCGACCCCGACAUCCAGCGGCAGCUGCGAUUCCAGCAGGCAAUCUCCAGAUACGCCAGUGACGAUGCUCCUGCCGAGUGGGCUGUCGACACCAUUUUCCGCGAUCUGCAUGUGGAGCUGUGAAUCCGUUCCAGAAUAAUGAAUGGCGUUGAAUGCUUUGCAAGGACAAACUGCCCCAUUUAUAUUCAUCCCAUCCUUAAAUCAGGGUUCAGAACGAAAAGAGAACGUCGGGGUGGAUACCGUUUGUUCACCCACACUUCAUUCCUCCGUCAGCUUUUGUCUGCAAGCACUGGCAGGCUAUCUGGCAGCACAUAUCACCUCAGCUGCGCCAGGUCCAGCCAGGAUGUCUGUUCGGAAGUUGGAUCAGUGGCUAGUGAUUAGGAAGGGCAAUCUUCAACUUUGUAUUCUCCGUGUUAUUUACCCUUUUAUUUGACCUCUCACCUGCCCAACUGCAGGGUAAGAGGCAGGAACGACAACUCCUAGUCUUCUUGCUUGAAGAGGGGCAUAAGAGUGAGCUUGUUUAUGUGUGAUCACACCCAAAAUAUUAACACCCUUCACUCACUCUGCAUUCCAGUAUUUUUGUUUUUAUUUUAGAUUUCCAGAUCCUGGUCUUUUUUUAAAUUAUUUUUUCUUCCUACUUUUCCCAGUCAGUGUUCCCAGGCACUAACGGAGCUCUGACAAGUGAGGUGCCAGCUUUACACUAUACUAUGUUGUUAUUCAUUGGUCUUGUCGGAGUGGUUUGAGAAUAACUACCACUGGCCUUGGAAUAAGCAUUUUUUACAGGAGAAAUCUGGUUCACAUCCACUAAAGGGCAAUCUGGGGCUGAGAGGCUGCUCCUGACAUCUCUACAGAAACUGCUUGAAGUCAUUCCUUGGUAUCAAUUGAUGGACAUCUCCAGAGUUAUUGCUGCUGCUGCUGCUGCAGGAUUCGCAUGGUCAGUGCACUCUUGCGUUGCUCAGUCUCCUCCUCUUCACUUCCUUGCAUUGUUCCAGGAAUAGGUUGACUACGUGUCUGCUUCCUCCAGCCACCCUACAUUCUCCCACCCAUUCUCCCAGCCCUUCACUUCCAAGUGGACCUCUGUGGCCAAAUACAAGUCCAAGUGAUCGGUAGUCAUUCCUAGCCAGUGUUUUAUAAGACCAUAAGGCAUAGGAGCAGAAUUAGGCCAUUCGGCCCAUCGAGUCUACUCCACCAUUCAAUCAUGGCUGAUCUAUUUUUCCUUCUCAACUCCAUUCUCCUAUCUCUUUCCCAUAACCUUUGAUGCCCUUAAAAAUCAAGAUUAUCUCCGCUUUAAACGUACCCAAUGCAAUUCUACAGAUUCACCACCCUCUGGCUGAAAUAAAUUCUUCUCAUCUGCCCUCUGGCUCUAUGGUCCUAGACUCUCCCACUCCCACAUCCACUCUAUCUAGGCCUUUCAUAUUCGGUAAGUUUCAAUGAGACCCCCCCCAUCCUUCUAAACCCCAGUGAAUACAGGCCCAGGCAUCAAACGCUCUUUAUAGGUUAACCCAAUCAGCCCCCGGAUCAUUCUCGUAAAUAUUUAAUAUUCACAAUGAAAGUUGAAAGGUUUCUGCAGAGGACUUUGGAACAUGAUACCUGUCGUUUUGUGAAUAGCUGGAACCUUCAAGGUAACUGAAGCUGUCACAUAGAGGCGUUAUUGUUCAACAUAAUCGGUUCUUUGUGCUGCUUCAUUUGUUCUGUAUUUAAACGGAUACAACAAUAGUGUACAGUGGAGAAUGACACAAAAUGCUGGAGUAACUCAGUGGGUCAGGCAGCAUCUUUGGAGAAAAGGAAUAGGUGACGUUUCAGGUCGAGACCAGUCUUCAGUCUGAAGAAGGGUCUUGUCCCGAAACGCCACCUAUUCCUUUUCUCCAGAAAUGUUGCCUGACUUGCAGAGUUACUCCAGCUUUUUGUGCCUAUCUUCAGUGUAAACCAGCAUCUGCAGUUCCUUCCUACACAGUAGUGUAUAGUGGAUCAGAUAACCAACUGCCUGGGUACAUGGGGACAGGAUACAACGUUCAGCCUGAUCAAAUAAAACGCAAGAGACUAUAGGUAUUUUAUCAGUGUCUCUACCCGCUGUUCAUACUCCUUAACUUUAUUGAUUUACCUUUUAUAUUAUUGUUUAAUUCAAAUAGUAAUUUAUCCGAUGUAUUCAUGGGCUGUUUCGCAAAGGAAGGCAUCACACCUGUGGUUGAAUCUUUCCUUUAUAUAAAUUUAUCACCUGGUUUCUCGUAGUCAUGUUUAAGAACCACUGCAGGUUACGUUACUCUCCUCUCCUGUUCAUUCUCCCACUCAAGCCCAAGGGCAUUAGUUGCUGGCCUGACUAUAUUUUACUGAGCCUGGGAACAAAAUCAUCGGCAUUCUAUUUGCUUCUCUCAACACAUAACAUGAUGGAUUUGCCCACUGAGCCCCACUGAGAUGAGUUUGCAUGUUUUUUUUGUUAACUGGAAAAAUGGUACAGUGAAUAUGUCUGGUUUACUGUACAGUGGUAAUUUGGAGUCAAAGCAGCGGUGACCCAGACACUGGUUUCAUCUGCAUCAUGGCAGACUCCUGCAUUUAGCAUGCAGCCACUCCUUCGUACUGUAGCAUGCAGACAAAAGAGCAGUUGGCAGUUUUAAUGCUGUGUCGCAAUUUGCAAUUGAAUCAUGAGCAGUGAGCAAGGUCAUUAUUGCCUGUGCCAGCUCGGUGGAAGUUUUGCUGAGGGAUAUGCUCCCUUGUUUUUAUUGCUAGACAAUUUUUCCCCCUUUAGAUAUCUACAAUUUACUCUGCGUGCAAACUAAGUACUAUUUUUCACCUUUGUUCCGGUUCUUUUGACAAAUACCUUGUAUCUGUAACCUCUGGUUACUGAUCCUCCUACCUGUAAAACAGUUACUCCCUAUUAUCAAAUGCCCUCAUCAUUUUGAACGUCCAAAUCUUCUUAAUAGACACAUAAUGCUAGAGUAACUCAGCGGGUCAGGCAGCAUCUCUGGAGAAAAGGAAUAGGUGAUGUUUUGGGUCAAGACCCUUCUUCAGACUCGACCCGAAACGUCACCUUUUCCUUUUGACCCGAGAUGCUGCCUGACCUGCUGAAUUACUCAGUAACUCCAGCAUUUUGUGUCUACUGUGUAAAACAGCAUCUGCAGUUCCUUCCUAAACAUCCUAUCCAAAUCCCCUUGACUUUCUCCUCUCUACAUUCAUCAACCAAAAUUUUGCAAAUAAUUAAAAUCAUAGGUUUUUUGAGUUAAAAAAAAAUUAUAUUUAAAAACAAAUCAUUCUAUUUAAUAGCUGUUGUCCACGCUGUGAUAGAUUGUUUAUUUAUGAACGACAUCUUAAGAACUUCAUAUCUUUUAUAUUUUGAAUUGGUUUGUCAUAUAUAUCUAUUAUAUUUAAUAUUGUUUUAAAGAAGUUAGUUCUAAUAUUUGUAAAUUAUUGUACCCUGAAGUUUAAUUAUUUAUUAAAGUGCGUCAUUGAUUUCUUCAUUUCUAUUUAAUUUGUGUUCUUCAGGAAUGUGUUUUAUAGCUGGCUGUCUCCCAAAGCCUUUAUUAUUUAAUUGUAGAUCUUGCACUCAAUUCCCCCAAGAUCCUCUUGGGUUACUCAGGUAACAUGUGUCAGCUUGGUCUGAAUAAAGGGCACCAUGUUUCUUCUUCAUAGUGCAUGUGUAUUGUAUUCUGUCUGCCUGUCUCUGUGUUGAUUUGAGAACUGCUGUGAAAUCCUCACAAACUAUAAUCAAAAUAAAUUUUUCAAACUGAA